UUUCUUCUUUUCGUAGUAGGUUGUUGACCUGCGUGCUUGUUUAUCGUAACUUCCCUGGCCUACGUGCCGUGAACUAUGUUGGCAUGCGUGCCUAGGUUGGUGACCUGAUACUCUAUUUGCUCGUCCCUUUUCGUGGUUGCUUUAGCGUCUGUUUACUCUGUCCCAUGGCUUUAUUUAUAAAGUCAGGCAUAUACCUUUUCUUUAGAAAAAAUAAACCGCAACUAGAGUAGUAACGUGUGUGUUACUAGUAUGUGGAGCAAGUAAUGUUGAUUUUAUUUUGUGUUUACAACCACACAAUUAUUAGUACUCAUAAUCUGAGCAUUGGCUCAUAUUUUGCACUAUUUUGAGCUCUUUUCAUUAAAAGAAAGAGCUAGAUUACAAUCCAAAAUCUAGUUUGGUCGGACUAUUUUGCCAGCGUGAUUCUUGUGUGUGUGCGUAGUGUUGGUUGUGUGCAUCUUAAUUAUGCAUAGGCUGGGUGUGUACUCAUUGUGCUUGUAUCGCUCGAUGCUACAUUAUGAGUCAAUAAAAACACCCUUUGUCGAAAAAAGUUUGAUCAAACUGUUUAUUUAUUUAUCAAUUUAUUCGGCAUUGUUGUUUCAUGUACUUGACCAUAUGGUUGGCUUGUUGCAGGCGCUGGUGUCUUUGGACACUUAUCGGACUCUUUUCUGGGUCGGAAGGGAUCGCUCUUGCUUGUGUGCUCCCUCAAUGCCAUUUUCGGCCUCCUCACCGCGCUCUCUCCGAACUAUUGGGCCUACGUGGCCUUGCGCAUCCUCACAGGCUUUAGCGCCGGCAGCAUUUGCCUUUGCUCCUUCGUCCUUGCCACAGAGCCCGUAGGGCCCUCCUAUCGUGGCGUUGUUGGCAUGUCCACGUGUUAUUUCUUCUCCGGCGGCAUCGCGAUCCUCGCCGGCAUUGCCGCGAUGUUCCAGUCCUCCUGGCGCCUCCUCUAUGUCGUGACCUCCAUGCCCUCCCUCGCCUUCAUGCUCACCGUCAUGCCAUUCGUCUCGGAGUCCCCACGUUGGUACCUUGUGCGGAGGCGCGCCGAGGAUGCAAUGCGCGUCAUACGAGACAUUGCAUCCACCAAUAGAAAAAGCAUCCCAGAUGGCAUCACACUCAAGCUCGACGAUGAGGAUGACAUCAACAAAAAGACCGAGGAGUCGUCGUCAUCGAUCCUAGACGUGUUUCGGUCACGAACAACGCGGGGCAGGCUGGUGCUCUCAGUGCUCAUCAGUUUCAUUUGUUCGGUGGUAUACUACGGCCUGAGCCUCAAUGUGGUCAAUCUAAAGAUUAACCUUUACAUCAGUGUGGCCGUUAACUCUCUCGCUGAAAUGCCCGCGUUUCUUAUCACUACGGUGCUCCUCCAACACUUGGGUCGGAAGCCACUCGCCAUUGGCUCAAUGCUGCUCAGCGGUGUUUUCUGUACAUCUGCCAGUCUUAUUACAGGUGUCGGUGUCAUGAGGUAAUUAAAUCCUUCUUGUUUUUGCAUGUACCUGACAUGAUGGGUCAGAAGAUUUUCUUUAACCGCAAACAAUUGCAUGUCAUUGUAGGGCGCUAAGGAUGGCAUGUGGUGUGGUGGGAAUCUUCGGAAUGGCCGCGACAUACAACCUAUUAGUUGUAUACACAGCAGAGUUGUUCCCUACGACGGUGCGUACUGCGGCGAUGGGAUGUACGUUACAAGCUUCCAAGAUGGGUGCCAUACUAGCACCCAUGGUAGUGUUACUCGGGGAGCGGACGCCAUUCGCAGUGUUUGGCAUGUUGGGUAUCAUCGGUGGGCUACUGGUGUUCUGCCUCCCGGAGACUAUGCACAAGCCAUUGUAUGACACCAUGUUCGGAUUGGAGAAAGGCGAGGGAGAAUUUGUAAUUAAAGGGAAAAUUACAAGAGGAAACUCCGAAAUUUGACCAGUUUCCAUAAGCACUUUCUCCAUAAGUAUUGCUGGACCCAAAGAUAUUACCAAUGGAACCAUGUUGCAUACAAAGAGCGGGGCGUGUUGGUUUUCUCAUCUGCAUUACUAGUUUUGCAUGUGCUAGAGGAUAUACUCUUACUUUUAAAGAUUUUAGUAGAUGGUUUCUAUGAUAAAUCAGUAGUGGACAUGGUGGCAAUGCGAGGAUGUAAUCAUGCUUAUCAGUUACCACGUGAUUCGUGCAGUUUUAAUACACAUAACGCGUAUAAUAAUAUCUCUUCAUCGUAUUCAUGUACAUGUAGUAUAGUUUUCUUAUUAUAUUAUUGCUCUGAAUGCAUUGAGUUUCUGUUAGUCUGAACGGCUACCUGAAUCAGUGAUUUGUUGGAGCAGCUGUCUCUUGUGGCUUCAGGCGAGAGGAGAACAUGGGCAGGAGUGUCAGUUGCAAUAUACAUAGUAAAUGCACUAACCUUUCGCCGUUCGACGAACUGGAUGUCAUGCUUCGUUCCAGAUAUUAUUCAUGUGGCUGGCCAACCUCGUUUUCCUUUGCAUGGUGCUCAUUCACCUACAUCGACCAUUUGACAUUGAUCCCACCAUAAUGAUGCUGAUUAUGACUCAUUAACACUGCCCACCCUUGCAGAUGUAUAAUUAGUAUUAUUUGCAUCCUCAUCCAGUACCUUUAGUAGUACUAAUGAAGACCACAACCCAGCUGCCCCUAAUGUAAUAGUUGAGCUCUGCAACGUUGUACUCCCUCCAUUUUUAUAUACAAGGCCACUAUGAAAUAUAGAGCUUACAUAUAUACAAGGCCACCAUCAGUAAUCGAGGCAAAGUUAAUGAUAUUUUCUCAUACCAACAACAUGUUUAAUACUUGCAUGCAUGCAGUCAUAAUCAUAGGCAGCUACUUCCUCCACUCAGUUUCUUUGCAUGCAUGCGGAGUAUUAAUGAUCCUAGUAAACAAGAAGAAAAGUUGAUUUAUAAAGCAGGCAUUAAAUUUUACAUUGAUACCUGUAAUCCGAGUUUGUGGCCUUGUAUACAAAAAUGGAGGGAGUACUUAAGGUCCAACGUUAGAACUUGCCUACCUUGGCCACAAACAGUAACCAUUGGUAUAUUAGGAUAAAUCUCCAUCUUCCCAUACAAUCUCUUUUCUUUACAAGGCAAAACUUUAUUUCUCGAAUAAUGGCGAGAUCGUUUACAAUAAGAUGAGAAAUAAAGUCCGGGAUAGCAUCUUCCCAAACCUCACAAGAUCUACUAGGGAGAGAUGAUUUUGUUAUACAAUCAGCUACACAGUUUGCUUCCGAGGCCACUUACUUACUUCAUACUUUGCAUAGUCCAGACCCAUCUCUUUACUUUCCAGAAGGAUAACUAGUUCAUGCCCAAGAAAAGUUUCAGAAUUGAGAGCAUCAACUGAAUUUAUAAAGUCAGGCAUAUACCUUUUCUUUAGAAAAAAUAAACCGCAACUAGAGUAGUAACGUGUGUGUUACUAGUAUGUGGAGCAAGUAAUGUUGAUUUUAUUUUGUGUUUACAACCACACAAUUAUUAG
rnacentral:lncRNA from 1 species